rnacentral:tRNA from 1 species
CAUUAAGAAGCUACAGGAUUUAGCAACAGCCUUUUAAGCUGUAGAUAGGUGGCCUCCAAUCACCCUUAAUGA